rnacentral:rRNA from 1 species
CCUACGGGUGGCAGCAGUGAGGAAUAUUGGUCAAUGGGCGAGAGCCUGAACCAGCCAAGUCGCGUGAGGGAGUACUGCCCUAUGGGUUGUAAACCUCUUUUGUCGGGGAGCAAAAGCCGGACGUGUCCGGCUGUGAGAGUACCCGAAGAAAAAGCAUCGGCUAACUCCGUGCCAGCAGCCGCGGUAAUACGGAGGAUGCGAGCGUUAUCCGGAUUUAUUGGGUUUAAAGGGUGCGCAGGCGGAUUUUUAAGUCAGCGGUAAAAUCGUGGGGCUCAACCCCAUCCAGCCGUUGAAACUGGGGAUCUAGAGUGUGCGAGAGGUAUGCGGAAUGCGUGGUGUAGCGGUGAAAUGCAGAGAUAUCACGCAGAACUCCGAUUGCGAAGGCAGCAUACCGGCGCGCAACUGACGCUCAUGCACGAAAGCGUGGGUAUCGAACAGGAUUAGAUACCCUGGUAGUC